CUAGGACAGUGUGACAUCAUAAAAAUAAUUAUUUGGUCUCUGCCCCUGCUUUCUGGCACAAUCACAAGGCUCCUAAAACCCUUGUCAUCUCCUGAGCCACAGGGGUUUCAGAGCAUCUUUCAUUCUAGUGUUUGGUCUUUGACCCCGGUUCCCAACAGACAGCUCCUACUCCCUUGGAAUUUAUUGGGUGAUGGGAGUGUCUUUUGUUCUAAUGAAGCAACUCUAAUGGGCUCCUGGAUGGGGCUGGUCACCAGAAAGACCAGGUUAUGCUGAGAAGCUUGAAACUGUCAGUCCCCCGCCACCCCAUCCUCCGGGAAGGGGAGAGGAGCUGGAGAUCAUGCCCAUGUGAUGAGGCCUCCAUCAAAGUCCUUGCACUCUGGGAUGUGACUGCCUGACAUGCGGAGGCGCUGGGAGAGCAGCACACCUGGAGAGGGCAUGGAAGCUCCAACACCCCACCUCCAUACCGCGUGCUAUGCAUCUCUCCCGUCCAGCUGCUCCUGGGUUUCAGUCUUUCUUAAUGAACAGCAGAGGCGCUGACACAGAAAGGAGUGACCUCUCCAACCUUCCGUAAAUCAUCAGAACACUGCAGAGUGACAGUGGGAACUCCAGAGAUUAAACACGGAGGUGAGGCUGGCCAGGGAUCACAAGAGGCCCAACACCCAGACAGUACGGAACCUGGUGGGCACCUCGUCCGUUUUGUCAUCCACAGACCAGAGGCUUCUGCACUUCUGAUGACUCCAUCCAGAUCUCCAGCUUGUCCUGUGGACCCAUCCAUGCAGAAGCAGACUCAGCACGCACAAGGACCAUUUUCCACACCCCUAUGACUGCACCUCAUCCAAUCAGCAGCACCCACUCCCUAGACCCCAGCUCCCUCCAGAUCAUCCUUGAAAAACCCUAGCCUCUGAAUUUUGGGGGAGACUGACUUAAGUAAUAACAUUCCAGUCUUCCACUUAG